CCUACGGGUGGCAGCAGUGAGGAAUAUUGGUCAAUGGGCGUAAGCCUGAACCAGCCAAGUCGCGUGAGGGAUGAAGGUUCUAUGGAUCGUAAACCUCUUUUAUAAGGGAAUAAAGUGUGGGACGUGUCCUAUUUUGUAUGUACCUUAUGAAUAAGGAUCGGCGAACUCCGUGCCAGCAGCCGAGGUAAUACGGAGGAUCCGAGCGUUAUCCGGAUUUAUUGGGUUUAAAGGGUGCGUAGGCGGCCUUUUAAGUCAGCGGUGAAAGUCUGUGGCUCAACCAUAGAAUUGCCGUUGAAACUGGGGGGCUUGAGUAUGGUUGAGGCAGGCGGAAUGCGGGGUGUAGCGGUGAAAUGCUGAGAUAUCACGCAGAACACCAAUUGCGAAGGCAGCCUGCCAAGCCAUGACUGACGCUGAUGCACGAAAGCGUGGGGAUCAAACAGGAUUAGAUACCCGGGUAGUC
rnacentral:rRNA from 1 species